CGGUGUUUAACUGGCGUGAUGUGGGACGUCCUACCGGUGGGCUUAGCCUCGCGAGGGGCGGCCCAACUAAUAUCCCGUCGCGGUGCUCUUUACUGAGUGUCGAGUCGGGCCGGUACGUUUACUUUGAACAAAUUAGAGUGCUUAAAGCAGGCUAUCCUCGCCUGAAUACUGCGUGCAUGGAAUAAUGGAAUAGGACCUCGGUUCUAUUUUGUUGGUUUUCGGAACCCCGAGGUAAUGAUUAAUAGGGACAGAUGGGGGCAUUCGUAUUGCGACGUUAGAGGUGAAAUUCUUGGAUCGUCGCAAGACGGACAGAAGCGAAAGCAUUUGCCAAAAAUGUUUUCAUUAAUCAAGAACGAAAGUUAGAGGUUCGAAGGCGAUCAGAUACCGCCCUAGUUCUAACCAUAAACGAUGCCAGCUAGCGAUCCGCCGAAGUUCCUCCGAUGACUCGGCGGGCAGCUUCCGGGAAACCAAGGCUUUUGGGUUCCGGGGGAAGUAUGGUUGCAAAGCUGAAACUUAAAGGAAUUGACGGAAGGGCACCACCAGGAGUGGAGCCUGCGGCUUAAUUUGACUCAACACGGGAAACCUCACCAGGCCCAGACACCGGAAGGAUUGACAGAUUGAUAGCUCUUUCUUGAUUCGGUGGGUGGUGGUGCAUGGCCGUUCUUAGUUGGUGGAGCGAUUUGUCUGGUUAAUUCCGAUAACGAACGAGACUCUAGCCUGCUAAAUAGGCGUACCUUAUGGUAUCGCGAAGGCCCCCGGCUUCGGCCGGUGGGUUUUUACUACCAACGUACAAACAAAUCUUCUUAGAGGGACAGGCGG
rnacentral:rRNA from 1 species